rnacentral:rRNA from 1 species
AUUGGACGCUGGCGGCAUGCUUUACACAUGCAAGUCGAACGGCAGCGCGGGCUUCGGCCUGGCGGCGAGUGACGAACGGGUGAGUAAUACAUCGGAACGUGCCCAGUAGUGGGGGAUAGCUCGGCGAAAGCCGGAUUAAUACCGCAUACGACCUGAGGGUGAAAGCGGGGGAUCUUCGGACCUCGCGCUAUUGGAGCGGCCGAUGGCAGAUUAGCUAGUUGGUGGGGUAAAGGCCUACCAAGGCGACGAUCUGUAGCUGGUCUGAGAGGACGACCAGCCACACUGGGACUGAGACACGGCCCAGACUCCUACGGGAGGCAGCAGUGGGGAAUUUUGGACAAUGGGCGAAAGCCUGAUCCAGCAAUGCCGCGUGUGUGAUGAAGGCCUUCGGGUUGUAAAGCACUUUUGGCGGGAACGAAAAGGACUGUGCCAAUACCACGGUUCGAUGACGGUACCCGCAGAAUAAGCACCGGCUAACUACGUG